rnacentral:rRNA from 1 species
GGGCCAGCAGCCGCGGUAAUACCGGCAGCCCGAGUGAUGGCCGAUAUUAUUUGGCCUAAAGCGUCCGUAGCUGGCUACGCAAGUCCGUCGGGAAAUCCACUCGCUCAACGAGUGGGCGUCCGACGGAAAAUGCACAGCUUGGGACCGGAAGGCUCGAAGGGUACGUUCGGGGUAGGAGUGAAAUCCCAUAAUCCCGCACGGACCACCGAUGGCGAAAGCACUUCGAGAAAACGGAUCCGACAGUGAGGGACGAAAGCCAGGGUCUCCAACCGGAUUAGAAACCCGUGUAGUCC